GUGAAAAAAGUGACAUUUUAUGUCUUGAAAGUCACUUUUCAUCAAAAGUACAAUAACAAAACUAGUUCCCAUUCAUUCUGUGUCCCCUUACACACUUGUGCUCUUUAACCGCUCAAAACGCUAUAGAGCGAACGAGAUGGGGCUAGGAGCAAAGGAAAUUGGUUUUUCUAACAAACUCAUAUAAUCAAUUGCCCGACCUACUCCAAUUUGAUUGUUUUCACAUAUUUAGACAUAAUAUAGUACUAUGAAAUGUUUCUGACCCAAAAUAUUACGAAAUAUGAUUGUUUACAUUAAAAUGCAAAAGUUGAUGAAAAAGUAUGAUAAGGUGAUAAAAGUGACAUUUUAUGUCUAGAAAGUCACUUUUCAUCAAAAGUACAACAACAAAACUAGUUCCCAUUCAUCCUGUGUCUCCUUACACACUUAUGCUCUUUAUCCGCUCAAAACGCUAUACAGCGAACGAGAAGGCGCUAGGAGCAAAGGAAAGUGGUUUUUCUAACAAACUCAUAUAAUCAGUGCACGACCUACUCCAAUUUGAUUUUUUCACAUAGUUAGACAAAAUAUAGUACUAUGAAAUUUUUCUGACCCAAAAUAUUACGAAAUAUGAUUGUUUACAUUAAAAUGCAAAAGUUGAUGAAAAAGUAUGAUAAGGUGAAAAAAGUGACAUUUUAUGUCUAGAAAGUGACUUUUCAUCAAAAGUACAAUAAGAAAACUAGUUCCCAUUCAUUCUGUGUCCCCUUACACACUUGUGCUCUUUAUGCGCUGAAAACGCAAUAGAGCGAACGAGAAGGCGCUAGGAGCAAAGGAAAGUGGUUUUUCUAACAAACUCAUAUAAUCAAGUGCACGACCUACUCCAAUUUGAUUUGUUUCACAUAGUUAGCCAUAAUAUAGUACUAUGAAAUGUUUCUGACCCAAAAUAUUACUAAAUAUGAUUGUUUACAUUAAAAUGCAAAAGUUGAUGAAAAAGUAUGAUAAGGUGAAAAAAGUGACAUUUUAUGUCUAGAAAGUCACUUUUCAUCAAAAGUACAAUAACAAAACUAGUUCCCAUUCAUUCUGUGUCCCCUUACACACUUGUGCUCUUUAUGCUCUGAAAACGCUAUAGAGCGAACGAGAAGGCGCUAGGAGCAAAGGAAAGUGGUUUUUCUAACAAACUCAUAUAAUCAAGUGCACGACCUACUCCAAUUUGAUUGUUUUCACAUAGUUAGACAUAAUAUAGUACUAUGAAAUGUUUCUGACCCAAAAUAUUACGAAAUAUGAUUGUUUACAUUAAAAUGCAAAAGUUGAUGAAAAAGUAUGAUAAGGUGAAAAAAGUGACAUUUUAUGUCUAGAAAGUGACUUUUCAUCAAAAGUACAAUAACAAAACUAGUUCCCAUUCAUCCUGUGUCCCCUUACACACUUUUGCUCUUUAUGCGCUGAAAACGCAAU
ensembl:lncRNA